UCAAAAAGUGAAUUUUGAACUUUUUAUAAGUUACGACUUUUCGCAUUUCAGAGACGAUAUAUGAAUCUUGUCGAAAUGACUGUUGACUCAGUUGAACAAAAGCCCUGCAAUUCCUACACCUUUUACUUCCUAUGGCGCCCAUUUGGCGCUUUCCAUAUAUAUAAAAUUAAAACGCAAGUUCUUACAAUGUACGUAUGUAAGUAAUAGUUCUUUAUUCUGUUACAAUUUUUAAUUUAUUCAGUUACCCUUUUAUUUCCUUAUAUCUAAAGCGCUAACAUUCACAUAAACUCACUUUUAUUUAUUUAUUUUCUUUGGUUUAUUUGUUUCAGUAAUUUAUUGUAAGUUUUGUUACUUUCGUUUAUAACAUUUAACUAAGAUUUAUAACACAUUUUUUCGCUAAUAACAAUUUUUUAAUUUUCAAAAGGAUUUCGUUUCAUUAACUAAUUCCUUGCUUCAUUGUAUCGAAACACUAGUGAUUUUGCUCUGUUUCUCUUGAUGUUUCGAUCUAAAUUUAGAUUGGUGAUGCCUUGUUUAGCAUCCGUUUGAAAUUUGUGUUUGCAAAAAAAA